rnacentral:rRNA from 1 species
GAUGAACGCUGGCGGCGUGCCUAAUACAUGCAAGUCGAGCGAACGGACGAGAAGCUUGCUUCUCUGAUGUUAGCGGCGGACGGGUGAGUAACACGUGGAUAACCUACCUAUAAGACUGGGAUAACUUCGGGAAACCGGAGCUAAUACCGGAUGAUAUUUUGAACCGCAUGGUUCAAAAGUGAAAGACGGUCUUGCUGUCACUUAUAGCUGGAUCCGGGCUGCAUUAGCUAGUUGGUAAGGUAACGGCUUACCAAGGCAACGAUGCAUAGCCGACCUGAGAGGGGGAUCGGCCACCUGGGAACUGGGACGCGGUCCAGACUCCUACGGGAGGCAGCAGUAGGGAAUCUUCCGCAAUGGGCGAAAGCCUGACGGAGCAACGCCGCGUGAGUGAUGAAGGUCUUCGGAUCGUAAAACUCUGUUAUUAGGGAAGAACAUAUGUGUAAGUAACUGUGCACAUCUUGACGGUACCUAAUCAGAAAGCAACGGCUAACUACGUG